rnacentral:rRNA from 1 species
AUUGAACGCUGGCGGAAUGCUUUACACAUGCAAGUCGAACGGCAGCACGGACUUCGGUCUGGUGGCGAGUGGCGAACGGGUGAGUAAUGUAUCGGAACGUGCCCAGUCGUGGGGGAUAACGUAGUGAAAAUUACGCUAAUACCGCAUACGAUCUAUGGAUGAAAGCGGGGGAUCGCAAGACCUCGCGCGAUUGGAGCGGCCGAUAUCAGAUUAGGUAGUUGGUGAGGUAAAGGCCCACCAAGCCAACGAUCUGUAGCUGGUCUGAGAGGACGACCAGCCACACUGGAACCGAGACACGGUCCAGACUCCUACGGGAGGCAGCAGUGGGGAAUUUUGGACAAUGGGCGAAAGCCUGAUCCAGCCAUUCCGCGUGCAGGAUGAAGGCCCUCGGGUUGUAAACUGCUUUUGUACAGAACGAAAAGGUUUCUACUAAUACUAGGAGCUCAUGACGGUACUGUAAGAAUAAGCACCGGCUAACUACGUGCCAGCAGCCGCAGUAA